rfam:Triticum urartu cultivar G1812 contig568332, whole genome shotgun sequence.
GUUGUAUUCCCUCCGUCCGGAAGUACUUGUCGCAUAAAUGGAUAAAAAUGGAUGUAUCUAAGAACUAAAAUACGUCUAGAUACAUCCAUUUUGCUGACAAGUAUUUCCGGACGAAGGGAUUAGCUU